AUUGAACGCUGGCGGCAGGCCUAACACAUGCAAGUCGAACGAGUGGCGGACGGGUGAGUAAUGUCUGGGAAACUGCCUGAUGGAGGGGGAUAACUACUGGAAACGGUAGCUAAUACCGCAUACCAUCGGAUGUGCCCAGAUGGGAUUAGCGAGGAGGUGGGGUAAAGGCUCACCUAGGCGAAGAUCCCUAGCUGGUCUGAGAGGAUGAACAGCCACACUGGAACUGAGACACGGUCCAGACUCCUACGUGAGGCAGCAGUUGGGAAUAUUGCACAAUGGGCGCAAGCCUGAUGCAGCCAUGCCGCUUGUAUGAAGAAGGCCUUCGGGUUGUAAAGUACUUUCAGCGUGGAGGCGUUACCCGCAGAAGAAGCACCGGCUAACUACGUGCCAGCAGCCGCGGUAAUAC
rnacentral:rRNA from 1 species